UGACUUUAGAAAGUUGGAUAACAAUAAGGUUAAAAAAAUUUGGAUUCCAAAACGAACUACUCUAACUAACCUCAAAGAAUCCAAGAAAGCUUGAAUACCUAAAAUUACAACUUAGCUUUUUCUUAUAUAUGGGUCUUGUAGCCAAUAAAAGAAAAAAAAAUAAUAUCUUGAUAGUGGCUAUUCAUGGCAUAUGAUGGGUGAUAAGAUACAAUUUAUUAUCUUUAAAACAAAGAAAGGAGCAAUGAUGACCUUUGGCAAUAAUGACAAAGAACACAUUGUAGGAGUUGGUGUGGUGCUCCCAAGCCUUGAAAGGCUACAGAAGGAGUCAGGGUGUUGGCUCCAGAAGGCUAGGAUCGGUUUGGAUCCUAAGGCUAAGACAGGAGUGAUCCUAGGGUGGAGGCGAUGCAUAGCUCUCCAUGAGCUUGAGGUUUAGGUGAUGAGGACUUCGAAGGGCAUGGUUGGGGCUCUGAGUAUCUGGAGACACAUGAUGGAGCAAGAAAUCAGAGCUAGGACUGAAGCUACAGAGGAUCAAGUAGAUUUAGGGUGUUAGUUGGCUCAGACUUAGACUGGAUCGACUAAGUCACAGACGGAUUGAUCCAGUCCAAAUCUGGAUCGACUAUGUCUCAGAAAAUAAAAGAUAAACUUUUCAAAAAAACUGACAUGGUAUGCAGGUUAGUUGACUUAGUGCCAAUUUGAGUCGACUAAAUCUCAAGUUAGUCGAUUAAGUUUGAGACUGAGCCGCCUUAGUGUCACGGACAAAGUAGCACGGGUUUUCUUUUUGGGUCUCGGAUUGGAUUUUGAUCCUAGGAUCUUAAGGCAUGGUUUGAUAGGUCUUAAAGGGGCUAACUCAGGAUUUGGACUAGGAAUAAGUUCAAGGGAUGAGAGCUUGUGAGAUAUGGAUGUACAUGAGCUCGAUUAGUACUUUCUUGUAUAGGUUCAGCCAGGAGAGUUUUUGGUCGGGUCUAUUAGGAUUUCAAGAUAUAGUGGAAUAUAGAUCUUUUCUCUCUCAAUCUCUCUUCUCUCUUUUUCUAGUGUUGUCGCCCUAGGUUCCUUGAAGAAUCCCUAAAGAAAGUGGGGCGCCUCCCUCAAGCCCUAGGAUGGAGGUGCCCCAUCACAGAUCUAGAUAGUGGAUCGGUGUUCGUUGCCUUCAAAGAGUCCGGAUCUAUCAUAGAUCUCCUCAGGUACAUGCAGAAAAUCCAAGAGUUCCUGAUAGAUGCAGUCAAGAUUUUUCUAACAAUUAGUAUCAGAGUCUAGUAGAGCAUAAAAGAGAAGGAGAAGUCAUACAAGGUGAAAUAAGAAAUUUGCACACCUAUUCACAGUAUGUCUCAGAUCUACUUUCAUUUUUACUGUGGUUAGGCCAAUCGAAAGCAGAGGGUUGAAGGUAGAGGUUGAGAAGAUUGACGGGAAGGAAUGUUUUCCAAGGUGGAAGGUUUGGAUGCAUAAUUUGCUGAUCCAACUUUGGUUGGAGGCAGUCGUGGUGGAAAGAUCAGGAUGUAUGGCAGAUAGAUGAUAAGGAUCUCUGGGGAGAAGGAUAGCAUGGGGGCAGUUUGGUAGAUGAGGAGAGUUCACCCAAGGGGUAAUGGUCAAGGGAAGCUGAAGAAAUGACUGUAGCCUUCAAGUGUAGGAAGGUGGGGAAGUAGUCAGGGAUGCAUUCAAUGGUUUGACGAUAGUGGGGCGUAAAAAAAAAAUAGCACAUGGGGGUUUUAAGUUGGUUAAGUCCAAUUCCAAAUAUGGCUCAAGAUCUUGUUCCAACUCUAACUAACCCUUGGACCCAAUUCUAACCAAUUUAGGAAUUAAUUAUAACAAACUAACUAAUUGGGUUCCAGCCCAAUUAUGAAAUCAAUUAGGCCCCAAUCCAAUUAAAAUUAGUUAGAUUAAAACCCUAUUGAUCCAGGGAUUGAUUCUUAAUGGAUAUCAGGAAAAUUUUUGACAAUAAGGCUUGAUCCAAUCAAGCCUAUUAUCCAAUAGGGUUUUAUCCAAACUAAGCCUAUAUAAACUAAUUGAAUUAUAUUCAAUUUAGAAUUUGAUUUGCAUCACUGAGAUCAAUUGGAAUAAAUCCUAUUAUCAAUAGGGAUGCAUCCAAUCAGUUCAAAGCCAAUCUAAUUGAAUCCAAUUCAAUUAGAUCUAAUACAAUCCCCAUUGCUAAAUCAAAUUGAGCCAAUUAACAAUCAUAUUGUUAAUUAAUUAUUUUUUUAAUUUAUCAAUAUUAGUAAAUAAUUUAUUACAACCUUUGCAUAGGAUUAAUCAUCAAUCAAAUUGAUCAUUAAAUCCUUCAACAAUUCAUAAUCGUCGAUCAGCCAUUUGAUCAGACAGGUAUUUCUAUGUGUGUGACCCCAUAAGUUCAAACCUAAGCCGGUAGCAUAAAAAUAAUUUAUGUAC
rnacentral:lncRNA from 1 species